UCUCAGGUGACUGCAGCUAGCUAGCUAGGGGUGUCGCUGCAAGUGUGACGUGGAAUUUGUUUGGCUAUAUGGCGCUCCCAAGCUGUGCUACCAACCAAAAGUAGAGUCUCUGGAACAAGGAGGUGGUUUUGAUGUAGGACAUCCGCAAGCUGAUCUACCAUGAUAAAGCAGCAGCACACAGCAUGUUGGAGACCACUGGAACCAUGAGAGUACCUUUGUUAUCACACCCAAUCACCAUCUAAGCUACCCCCUCCUUUCCCUUGCCCAUACCCACAACCCAGCACUCCUGUACCCUUAUUCCCCAAUUCCAUGAAAAAUUACACUUUCAAAAGGACACCCCUCCUGGUUUUUCUGCUAAAUUGAGGGGAGAGAAUGCCAGCCUGAUUGCCUGGCUGCCCCACUCUGCGCGACUCUAGAAUACAUAAGAGGCCCCUCUAAGGCCCAGUCGCUCCGGGACACCACUCUAUCCCACUUCAGAGACAAGCCCGAUGAAGCCAUCAGCACGACCAGGCCGAGCUGUC